rnacentral:tRNA from 1 species
CAAGUUGAGCAGGAGAGGGGACAACUCUUUGCUGAUCAGGAAGAGCGGCACCAGAAGCAACC